rnacentral:rRNA from 1 species
GACGAACGCUGGCGGCGUGGAUUAGGCAUGCAAGUCGCGCGACGACCUUCGGGUACGGAGCGGCGAACGGGUGAGUAACACGUGAGAAACCUACCGCAUCAUUCCGGAUAAUUGGUCGAAAGGCCUUGUAAUACGGGGGAGGUUCGUUGAUGGGCAUCCAUGAACGAACGAACGGGCAACCGGUGCUGUGAUGGUCUCGCGGCUUAUCAGGUAGUUGGUGGGGUAACGGCCUACCAAGCCACGACGAGUAGCUGGUCUGAGAGGAUGGUCAGCCACAUUGGAACUGAGACACUGUCCAGACUCCUACGGGAGGCUGCAGUCGAGAAUCUUGGGCAAUGCACGAAAGUGU